ACAGUGGAAAAACAAUUUUUCAAACCAAACAAUUUAAAAUACAUUUAUGGCUGGUCAAUGAGUUCACGAGGGCAGGCAGUGCACUGCAGGAGGCCCAGAUCUGUCACCACCACAAGGGUCUCUGGCCCAGUGAGUGGAGUUUUAUAGUAAUUCUUGCUACAAGU
rnacentral:snoRNA from 14 species